rnacentral:lncRNA from 1 species
GUGAUGCCAAAGGAGGCAGACAGCUUAACAGGGAGAUCAGAGAAACAGACAGUCAGAGAGAGCUCUGCUGAAACCGCUGUCAUCCUGGGGUGACUGAGUGCAUGCCCAAAGCUGCUCCCUCUGAGGAGCGACAUAGGAGUUUCCACACUGAAGGGAAAUAGACUUCACUGAAAUUGUCCAUCCAGGUUAUUAAACAAAUAAACAAGCAAACAACAAUAACAACAACAAAACAAGCUCCAGAGAGGGAGCAGGGGACUCAGUAUCCAGUGUUGCUACAAUCUAUUACUUCAAAUGUCUGAUUUCAAGAAAAAAUUAUGAGAUAUGCAGAGAAACAUGGAAGUGUGACCAGCACAGAGGAAGAAAAAGCAAGCAACAGAAACUGCCUGUGACCCAAGAUGGUAAUUAGAAUCCAUAUGAAAAAACUGGAUUAAACAUCAUUAAAGCUUAUGUAUUUCACUGUCUCUUCAAGAAAUAAUUACUAGAGAAAAGAAAUGAGGUCAACAACAACACAAAGGAAAAGAAAG